ACCGGGGCUAAACAUAUUACCGAAGCUGUGGAUUGUCCGUAGGACAAUGGUAGGAGAGCGUUCUAAGGGCGUUGAAGCAUGAUCGCAAGGACAUGUGGAGCGCUUAGAAGUGAGAAUGCCGGUGUGAGUAGCGAAAGACGGGUGAGAAUCCCGUCCACCGAUUGACUAAGGUUUCCAGAGGAAGGCUCGUCCGCUCUGGGUUAGUCGGGUCCUAAGCUGAGGCCGACAGGCGUAGGCGAUGGAUAACAGGUUGAUAUUCCUGUACCACCUAGCAUCGUUUUAAUCGAUGGGGGG
rnacentral:rRNA from 1 species